CCAAACUGUUGCCUCGGCGGGAUCUCUGCCCCGGGUGCGUCGCAGCCCCGGACCAAGGCGCCCGCCGGAGGACCAACCAAAACUCUUUUUGUAUACCCCCUCGCGGGUUUUUUAUAAUCUGAGCCUUCUCGGCGCCUCUCGUAGGCGUUUCGAAAAUGAAUCAAAACUUUCAACAACGGAUCUCUUGGUUCUGGCAUCGAUGAAGAACGCAGCGAAAUGCGAUAAGUAAUGUGAAUUGCAGAAUUCAGUGAAUCAUCGAAUCUUUGAACGCACAUUGCGCCCGCCAGUAUUCUGGCGGGCAUGCCUGUCCGAGCGUCAUUUCAACCCUCGAACCCCUCCGGGGGGUCGGCGUUGGGGAUCGGCCCUGCCUUUGGCGGUGGCCGUCUCCGAAAUACAGUGGCGGUCUCGCCGCAGCCUCUCCUGCGCAGUAGUUUGCACACUCGCAUCGGGAGCGCGGCGCGUCCACAGCCGUUAAACACCCAACUUCUGAAAUGUUGACCUCGGAUCAGGUAGGAAUACCCGCUGAACUUAAGCAUAUCAAUAAGCGGAGGAA
rnacentral:rRNA from 1 species